CUCUGGGACAAGCCCUGGAAACGGGGUCUAAUACCGGAUAAUACUUUCCCUCUCAUGGGGGAAGGUUAAAAGCUCCGGCGGUGAAGGAUGAGCCCGCGGCCUAUCAGCUAGUUGGUGGGGUAAUGGCCUACCAAGGCGACGACGGGUAGCCGGCCUGAGAGGGCGACCGGCCACACUGGGACUGAGACACGGCCCAGACUCCUACGGGAGGCAGCAGUGGGGAAUAUUGCACAAUGGGCGAAAGCCUGAUGCAGCGACGCCGCGUGAGGGAUGACGGCCUUCGGGUUGUAAACCUCUUUCAGCAGGGAAGAAGCGAAAGUGACGGUACCUGCAGAAGAAGCGCCGGCUAACUACGUGCCAGCAGCCGCGGUAAUACGUAGGGCGCAAGCGUUGUCCGGAAUUAUUGGGCGUAAAGAGCUCGUAGGCGGCUUGUUGCGUCGGUUGUGAAAGCCCGGGGCUUAACCCCGGGUCUGCAGUCGAUACGGGCAGGCUAGAGUGUGGUAGGGGAGAUCGGAAUUCCUGGUGUAGCGGUGAAAUGCGCAGAUAUCAGGAGGAACACCGGUGGCGAAGGCGGAUCUCUGGGCCAUUACUGACGCUGAGGAGCGAAAGCGUGGGGAGCGAACAGGAUUAGAUACCCUGGUAGUCCACGCCGUAAACG
rnacentral:rRNA from 1 species